UUUGCUUUUAAACUCUUAUUUGUGCAAGAGGAGUUGCUACUAUCUGAAUAUUUAGCUGAAGGCUUUUAGAAAGCCUGCUGCUCAAUAGUGAAAGGUCUUGGAGUUCUUAAGGCCAUGUGGACCCAGCCUGGCCUCUGUAUACUAAACUCUUAUUAAACUUCAGCAGAAGACAUCCUCUGGAGUCUGAUAGUUUUGCCCAAGAGCAUCUCUGCAUUGAUGAGAGUUGUGUACAGGCGAGGUUCUAGCUGCCGGCUGCUUGUUCCAGCAACGCGAAACCCAUGUGAAACAGUAACUGCAUAGAGGGCUCCAUGACCACGUACACUGAACUCCGCUGGAUCUCUUAUCAAGUCUGCAGCUCCCCGCAGCCUCAGCUUUCAUGCUUCUUAUUCACCCUUGAUUUCUUCGUUAAACUUGAUACGGUUACAAAAGUACGAUCUCUUGCAGCCCUUAGGAUAGGAACAAGGUAAAGAUCAGCAGAAGACCUGGGGUCUGCCAAGGCCUGCUAUUGCGCUUCUGUAAAUCUGGACAGUUUACAGUGCUUUAAAUUAGGUGCUGCCUGGUCCGCGAAGAGUUUUUUGGAAGGACCAGGAAGUGCCGUUACAACAUUUUGUUAAUGUUUCGUUCUGUCAUGGUCUCUCUAAAUCAUUCCUCUGUUGUCUUUCCCCAGGAGAAAAUUAGCUUUUUUGAAGUGUUUGAGCUGUUGUUCUUCUCAGAAAAAACAGGAAAUAAUACUAAUAUGUUAAUCUUUAACACGUAAUGGGAUGUGCUAGAGUGAAAGGUGGUGUGACUCUUCAAAGUGCUUGGGGAUCUUGCAGACUUUGGCCUGAAAUGAUGUGGUGUGGGAAGCCUGACUCUAUAUCCAGCCUGGGUAAAGUGAAGUAAGAGUAGAUACUUUCCAAGUUUUAUUGGUUUUCUACACAAUUUCUAAUAGCUUUGAUGAUACAUGAAUAGUGUCAGAUAAUUUUCUAAUGUAAAACUCCCAAUUUAAUGUCUGUACAUACAUUUCGAGUGUAAGCACCCGUUGCUACUUGCCUUUUUGUAUGCUAUUGGGAUGUGCAUACUGUGUAUACGUAACUGCAUUGAGUUGUGCACCCUGCACAAAAGCCUGAAUAAAUGGGUUUUAACGUU